GCGGGCCGUGAGAGCGGGAGCCCGGAGAUGGGCACUGAGACAAGGGCCCAGGCCCUACGGGGCGCAGCAGUCGCGAAAACUUUGCAAUACACGAAAGUGUGACAAGGCUAUCCCGAGUGCCAUCCGCUGAGGAAGGCUUUUACCCAGUAUAAAUAGCUGGGAGAAUAAGGAGAGGGCAAGUCUGGUGUCAGCCGCCGCGGUAAUACCAGCUCUCCGAGUAGUGUGGAUGUUUAUUGGGCCUAAAGCAUCCGUAGCUUGCUAAGCAAGUCCCCUGUUAAAUCCACCGAUUCAAUCGUUGGAUUGCGGGGGAUACUGUUUGGCUAGGGGA
rnacentral:rRNA from 1 species